UAUUCCAGGAACUUCAGCAGGCAAAAGCCACUCUGCAUGGAGAGCACUGUGGUCCGAUAGAGCCUCAGCUUCAUGUGCAGGGGACCUUUCUGCCCUAGUGUCCCUGCCUGAGAUUACAGGCAGAGUCUUCAUAGAGGUCAGUGAGUUAAGAUGAGGUCACUGAGAUGGCCCUAAUUCCGUUUGACUGCUGUGCUCGGAAGAAAGUUUGGAUGCAGACACUCACAGAGAAGGACCUUAUGGGAAAGAGAGGCUGCCACCUGCAAGCAGAGGGGGACAUGGGGAGAGGAUGGCCCCUGCAAGCUGAGGACAGAAAACCAGGUCUGCUGAUUCCUUCAUCUUGGACUUGGAACCUUCAGAACUGAAUCAUCACAGCCCAUCUGGAAGAUCCAUCAGUUCUAACGGGGCUGGGCCUGCCUCCAGGAUGUGGGAGAUUGGCUCCAGAGCUGACACAGGGCUGCUUCCCCCCCCCCCGCCCCCCCAGGAUGGAGCUCUGGAGGGAAAUUCUGAAUUGUUUUCUUUUGGGGACAGUCAGGUGGGGGUGGGGAGAGGAAGAUUGGGCCAUUUAUCUUCUAUAGACAUUGCCGAGAUCCCAGCACUGGGGAGCCACAUCACCCAAAUCUCCAAUUAUGAACACCACAGUAUUGUUUUUCCUUUAGCAUCCAGAUGUUGGAAGCUAGAAGAUACCUUUGAAAUCAGUGCUGCCUUGCUUUUGUCAAGGUUUUAGUUAGCACUAACACGCUAUAAGAUUCUGGCUGUAUUUAUGUCUAAACGCCUUCUGAAAUAUCCUAUCAUCUGGAGGCAUGUCAUAUACAUUAGUACGCUUGGAUCCUCACUGUGAAUAACCUGACUAUCAAACUAUUAAUAAGCAUAAAGUGUGGCCACCCAGCACACCUGGGACCUCCUCCACUGCCUAUCCAGAUAGCUUCCCGAGAGAGUAGAGUAUAAGCAUCCUCUACUAUGCAUUUUUCCAACAAUCUUCUGAGCUCGCUUUAGGGUACCUGAAGUUCUACUGCAGGGGAUGAUGGUGGUGGUCGUCGUGUACUGGUUUUAACUAAUAAAAUGUGCUGAUUUUUGUGUUUUUGAAUUUA